rnacentral:lncRNA from 1 species
GCAUGAACAUAAUGAAUCAGUGGCAUAAACAUAACUCAGUAGCCUACACUAUAAACGGAAUAGAUAGCCUACUUAAGUGAUUUUCCAACCAUCUUUUAUUUAUUUUCCAUUUAAAAUAGGAAGGGAGUAGAAAGCCUAUCGUCUAAGCGAUGACAACCAUGAAAACCCCAGGACCAAGCAAGAGGUGGUGGUUCGCUCUCCGUGCCAGGGUUGCCACAUUUGGUGGAGAAUGCGGGCAACUCGACCGUGCUACGGACAAUCAUUGGGAGUGAUCGACGACGCAGCCAGAAACGAGGACACGAGAGACGAGGGCGCCAGAGAAGAGGCUGCGUGAGUCGAGGCUGCGUGAGUCGAGGCCGCCAGAGACGAGGCUGCGUGAGACGAGGCCGCCAGAGACGAGGCCGCGUGAGUCGAGGCCGCCAGAGUCGAGGCCGCCAGAGACGACGCCGCAAAACGAGCCACGCUGGCAGCAGAAGCCGCCACGCUACCCGCAGGACCGUCGCUCCUCCGAGAGGCCUCCCGAGGCUUCAUCAAAGGGUGGAGGAGUGGCGGUUCGCUCACCGUGCCGGGUUGCCACAAUACAUCCCACCACUUCGAUGCUUUAAAUGUCACAAAUUUGGGCAUUAAGCAGCAAUACGUAGAGGGAAAGCAAGAUGUGGCAAAUGUGAAGGGGAGGAUCAUGAAUACGAUAAAUGUAAGGGAGGUGCCCGGGUUAACUGGUGAUUUUUGAGGCGAGCAUAGGGCUACCUAUAAAGGGUGUUAGGCGCAUGAACGCGCAGCAGAGGUUCAAAUAAUUAAAGUGGAGGAAAAGGUAACAUAUGCUGAAGCAAUUAAACAAGUUAAUGCUUGAAAGGAUAUGGUGAAACAAGGAGUUGGACCUGGAAAAAUAGUUAAUGC